rnacentral:rRNA from 1 species
UACGGAGGGUGCAAGCGUUGUCCGGAUUUAUUGGGUUUAAAGGGUGCGUAGGCGGCUUUUUAAGUCAGUGGUGAAAGACAACAGCUCAACUGUUGCAGUGCCAUUGAUACUGAAGAGCUUGAGUACAGAUGAGGUAGGCGGAAUUUAUGGUGUAGCGGUGAAAUGCAUAGAUACCAUAAAGAACACCUAUUGCGAAGCAGCUUACUAGCUGUAA